CGGGAGACUGGUGAUCGCAAAUGGCACGAUUUUUAUCUCCAUAGGGUUUCGCAUCAUCUGGGGUUGGAUGCUAAACCCUAUCAUAAUUUCGGAAGCAAUCGCCAGAGGCCGAUGAACACACACGAAUUGCGUAUACUGAUCUUCGUUCAAUUACCUUAGAAUUUACUUCUUUAACUUUUUCGAUGGUUGAAUUGUGUUGGUUUCAUCAAUUUCUUACAUGUUUGCAUACAUUGAAGCUAUAUGAGUAAUCCAGCAUCGAGUGAAUGUGUUGAGAGUCACAUUUGUGCAUAACUUCAUGCCUUUCUGUAGAAAAAUUGAAGCAGUAAAUUGCAUUUUUUUCAAUGUUUGAUGUUGAAGUUCUCUCUAACCCUUCAAAUUUACAAGGUUAAUAGAUGUGAUAGAUUUGGGGAUCUUAUGCUAUGUAAUUUUUGGGAUUACAGU